ensembl:lncRNA
UCCUAAUAUUCAGCCUGAAUCUCCCCUGGUGCAACUUGAGGCCAUUCCCUCUCAUCCUAUCACUGUUACAUGGGAGAAGAGGCCAACCUUCACUAGAUGGGGAAAGCAAGAACUGUGCAGCAAUAUGCAGAAGUACAGAGCUGGUUGGAGCUGCUAUGGCCUUGCAGCAGGUGUGCAGAACACUCAUCUCCAGAACCAAGCACCUUCAACAGGAUAACAUCCUCAAACGGAGUAUGUGUUUUGCCUGUUUCCCUUGAGCUGGAACUUCAGUACCUGACAGAACUUGGCCGCAUGUGUGAUUUUUCUGGAAUUCACAG